UUGGGGGGGGGAAACCAGCACAGUGCUGCUGUUGCUGGGCUUUGAGUUUAUUUUUGUAAGGUUUGUUUUUUGGGUAACUGAAAGAAUUGCUGCUGCUGCGCUCCUCUGAUUUGUGGGGUUGUUACAGAGGCUGCUGCUGGGCUCCUGUCGAGCUGCUUUUUCUCGGGGCCCAGAGGGUUCUGAAGGUGCUGCAACCCCUUGUGCUCAGAGCGACAGGGGAACUAGUACAUCAUCACCUGAAGUGAUGACUGAGGACAUUAAAGAAGAUGUGGCCAGCAGGAAGAGAGAGGUGAUUGUCUCCCUCUGCUCAGCUCUCGUGAGUGCCCAUCUGGAGUACUGCAUCCAGCACAAGAUAGGCACAGAGCUCAUGGAAUGUGUCUGGAGGAGGACCACCUCUCUUGUAAAGAAAGGUUGAGGGAAUUGAGAAGGCCAUUCAAUGAUUCUGUGACGAGGGGAGCGGCUGGCCCAGGAAGCACAGGUGAAAGUAAUUCACCUGUUCUUCCCACGUGACUCAGGGUCUGCCCCUUCCUGAGCUCAUUUAAGGGCUAGCCUCUGCAGGGAGAACAUCUCCUGGAUGAAGGCUGCUUUCUGAGAAAGGAUUUUCUGUAUCUGAAGACCCUCGUUACUUCUCAAGGUCAGGGCUGUAUGAGAGUCACUUUUAAGCCUGGACCUGUGAGGAGUUCCACUGUUGGGCUGUGUCUGAGCAUGUUCUAAGCCUGGACCUGUGAGGAGUUCCACUGUUGAGUGGGUGCUGCUUUGGAUCAGUUCAGUCUGUGAGCAGUCCUAGUAGUCCCAUUGCUACUAGGAUUGCUUGUGGAUCCCAGAAUUGUGAAGGUGUUUUUGCUGCAGGUCUGGGACUUCUGUGGUGAGUAGUUCUUUUCCAGGGUUUCCCCUCCUGAAGGUUUUUUUUUCUUUAGGUUUUUGUGCAGCCCUUAAAUGGGAAGAAGAGAGUCCUGUGCCCUCCUGUGAUGGAUGUCUUUAUUUUUGGGCUAAUUGACUGAGGGUGGAAGGCCUUGUUCUGGAAGGAGAACCCACUUCCUUACUUCCUUUAGGGAAGGUCUUGAGCUCCAGUGCCUGGAUGUCUUGGAGAGCUUGUAGGUCACAGCCAAGAGAUGUACAGAAAAUGAACAAGAUGCAGCACCUCUCUAGUAAUCCCCGAUGAUUGCUGUGGUAGCUUAAUUUUGUGGUACUGAUGUUGAUUAGGUAUCAGCAUCAAGCUGUCAAAACCAAAUUAAAAGAAGCUAUGGGAAGCUUGACUGGAAGCCCCAUUUAGAAGAAAGGAAGAGAGUAUAUGUGCUCCUUAACUGUCUCGCUUGCUGCUAAUUUUGCUAUGAGGGUCAAGCAGUUUUGAUUACAGCAGAGCUUGUGGUGUAUCCCAACUAGGAAACUAAUCAGUGCCUAACUUGCAGCUGAAACUUUUCUGGAGUCUUGUUAAGAACAGUGCCAGCUGAUGAAUGGAGGCUUAAUGAUUACAAAAUUGUGGUCAGCUGCUCUUCCUAAGGAAAUUUCAGAAACCUACUUGACAGUGGGAGAAUUCCACAGCUGAAAGAACUAUGGGUUGUUAACCAAUGACUUGGGCUGAACCAUCUUAGUGGGCAGACUCUCGAAACCCCUGUCUCUAAUUACUCCAGAAAAUAAACUCAGUCUGGAUGAAUGCCAAACCACAUUCCUAAGGGGUGAGAAAGGCCCCACAUCUGCUUCUGGUGUAACUGUUUGUAUCUUCACUCUAGGAAAAUUAGGUUUGAAAUAAUCUCAAAUUGUCUGACACCUGUAUCCUAUUAGAAGUGACACAUGGAAACACCUUCAGCAUACUGAAUUUAGCACCACGUCAACAGCUUAAAGUUCACGGGAAAAAAUGGCAAAAAUCAUUGCUUCCCACUUUUGGCUGAAACAGACCCGGUGUCUUUUCACAGGAUGAUACUGCAAGCUUGGUCCAUAACUGCAGUGGGCUUUGAGCCCAUAAAUACAACAUAGUCUGUGCCCCAGCUAUGGCUGGAAUUAAAUCCAGUGAGCACAUUGUGGUGACUGGAGUCAUGCAAUAGACCAAGGCUUGUUGAGACACACCUAAGGGCUGGGUGCCAGCCAGCAGCCAGCAUGUGGGCACACAGAAGCUUCAGGGGCAAAGCAAUGCUAUAAUGUGGUGGAAAGUACAACAAAAAUAGCAGGUAGGCAAAGUAAGCCUUUGGCUACAGCAAACGAGGACGAGCCCAGAUGCAGCAGCCAUGGCUACUAUAAAUACAAAAAGGAAGAAAGGAAGGAAAGCUGCUUACCUUUAGAAGGCCUCAAGCACACAAGAAUCUCCAACAAGAUCCUCUCGCCUCCGCUGCCAGCCCUUAAAUGAGAUCCAGGAAGGGGUGUAUCCUGGCUCCACCCCUUCCACUCACUCCGGUUCAUUGCAUGCACCUGAGCUCCCCUAGGUUGGCCCUCCCUUCCCACCAGGUGCUCAAUCAGGCUGUGAUUUAGCAAAUCUGUUACAGAGAGCUUCUCUGAAGUUUGGCUGUGAAUCUUGAUUUUUGCAACUCACAGCUUCUUUUUAUGGUGAACAGACAAUAUAUCACUUGUCUUGAGCAGAGGAGUCAGAUUGGCGCUACAGAAGAUAAAUUCUGCCACGGCAUAAAGGUUUGGUCACGUUCAGACACAGAGAAGAACCAAAUGACUUCAGAAGCUGUGCAUCUAGUUUUGCUAUGAUGGCCUGUGCCUCCCUCAGUGCAGACUGCGACACACUUGUAGUGCUUUACUUGAAGCUCCGUGUGGAGCCUCCCAUUUGCAAAUUCCUCUAUUAGGAUAAAUCUGAUGACCUCUCCUCCGGAUAACUCACUGAUGAGAAAACACUAAUUCUGCUGAGUUAGGAGAAAGUACUUUCUUUCUUUUCAGAUAGCAUUGUUUUGCAGCAGUUCUGCUGAAAAAUUGCGAGUACACCCCAGAGUCAAGAAAACCAGAAAAAUGCUGUUCUUGAUCAUUUUUCCCUCACGUUCUGGCCCUUCGCUGACACCGUGUAAGCAAUCACUUUCUCAUCACAGUAGUUGUGACAGGCAAAAGGGAUAUUUACAGAAACACAGGCAGGUCACAGAGGUUGUUAAGAGCUCAAAAAUUGCAACUUAACUUUUGAAAGAGUAAGCAGAAGGCCCACAGCAGGGUUUGUAUUUUGUUAGGUGUGGCGCAGUACAGAAAGGGGGGAGUCCAGUUCCGACAGCACUGAGGCUAUGGAUGGUCAGAGAGGGGCGAAGGAUAACGUGUAAUUUCAGCACACCACUGCAACUACCUUGAUAAAAUGAUCAAGGAAAAUCUUACAAUGCAACCUACAAUACAAUACAACCUAGCUGAGGUGGUGUUUAUUCUGAGAAAACAUCUUCAGUGGCACAAGACCUGUUUUGGAUCCCAAAGCCUUUCUCAGAAUUAUAACCUUCAGCUUACGAGAGAAAACUGUGACUAGAUCCCUGCAAGUUUCCCAAGAAAGAAAAUGAGAAAUUGCUGUAAGUGAAACGUGUGUGUGCACUGGAGGCAUAGACUCACUGCAGUCUUUUGGAAACAGCCUUCCAAAAAGGAUGUUAGAUAGUAGGAUGCUUUCCCAAAAAGGAUGCUACAAAUCACAUGCUUGAGUUAAGAAAUGACAGCAACAGUCCGAAGGGAACAUACGGGACAGGCAAUAAUACUUCAUUAUGAAUGCCGAUUAGAUGAUUUCUCUUUCUAAACUAUUUUUGCCUCUUAUGAAUAAAUGAGAGAAAACAAGGGUGCCUUGUAAACAGCUGCUUCGGGCCCUUGCAAACCUUCAAAAUGACGAGGUGCCAACGUGAAUUUAAUAAGCCCGCUCUUCCUGUAUUCUAGUCAGUUCCCAGCUGAGGCUCAACUGGGAUACGGAUGCAGUGUUGCUAUUUGUGAGUGCAAAUACUGAUCCCAUCCAGAUAUCUGGAUAAGCCGUCCUCUUCCCUAUGGGCAGCUUGGCUUCUGAGACAGACUUUAGCUGCACACCCCUCUAUCCCUUUAUCCAGACUGAGAGCUCCACAAAGAGCAGAAUUGACAGAUACGCAUUGUGACGGUAAACAUGAGCUGUUGAACUCCAAGCCAAAAUGCCACCACAGUCGUCCCAUGUAUAUCAGCUACUGCCUUUAUCAUUAUUUCACAUACCUUAAAGACAAGAGACUCUUGCUUCAUAUAGACUUCAGGGAAAAAGAGCUGCCUGCUGGCCUCUAAGCAGCCCAAUUCUUUGUGAAGUGACACUGGCCAAGACAUCUGGGGCACAAGGCAGUGUCGUCCUUGGCUGCAUGGGCGGAUUGCAGCAAAGACAUAUGUACAGCAGUGAUAGGUGGUAUCAGAACAUCCUCUACUUGAAACUUCUCUGAAGGUCAGUGUGAUACUAUUGAAUACAAUAACAUGGAAGAAGCCUCAGUGCUCUUCCCAAGAUGAAUCCCUUUCUCCUGUUUCUAAAGAUUUUCACUUUUGUGUCAUCAGUUGUAGUUGUUUGGCUACACAGUCAUUAACAGCAAGGACUAGAGGUAAUGGCCUUAAGUUGUGACAGGGGAGGUUCGAGUUGGAUAUCAGGAAAUAUUUUUUCUGAGCAAGAGUGGUGACAAACUGGAACAGGCUGCCCAGAGAGAUGGUGGAGUCACCAUCCCUGGAGUGUUCAAGAAACGUGGAGAUGUGGCGCUGAGAAACAUGGUCUAGUGCAGUCACAGGCAUGAAUUGGUGACUGGACUAGAUGAUCUGAGCGGUCUUUGCAACCUUAAUGACUCUAUCAUUCUGUAACUAGAGGAACAUGGUGACAAGCAAAAAACAGUGAGCUUCAAGGUAGACAGAUACAACAGACAGACUGUUACACUAGUAGUCCAGUGUCCACGUGUACCUAAUUGCAGCAUGGGACUCAAAAUCUUAAUGAGAAGGAUGCCAAAAUAAUCUUUUAAACCAUAAACAGAACUUCGCAGUUGGUAGACUUCCCCAAAGAAAGGAAUCUGUUUCCUUUGAAAAUACUUGCUAAUAGCAAGUCCUAUGAAGUUAUACGUAUCUACAGUUUCUACAGCAUAUGUAUUAUGAAUUUUUUUUUCUUCCCCCUUCCCCCCCCCCCCCCCCCCCCCUCUUGGAUAGCUACAGAAGAAAGCUGUGAAUUUGCCUGCUUUGUUGACUGACAGUGUUGCAUUUCUCAAGUCUGGCAGCUGCUCAGGAAACAACAAUGAUGAGCCAGGGUCUUGAUAGCACUCACUUCAGUCCUCAGAAGACUCAUGACAAAGCAGAAGAAGAGAAAUACUAUCUUCACCAUGUCUGAACCUUUCUUUGUUUUUGGCUCAAAGUUAGCUUUCUGAGGCAUUUCUUGCAAUAACGCUCUGACUUACCUAGGAGAUGAGAGGGAGGUGUUGGCGUAUGACAAUCAACAUCAUUUUGUGGACAAUUUCACAUUUGAGAGCAUUUCUUUGAAGCUGAUUGCCUUGGGAAUACUGUGCUCAGGAAUGUUUACUGGCAGAAAAUCUGGCCUGUGACCAAAUAACUCCAGCUUGGUAUGGGAGAUUGGAGAAUGAUACCAUCGUAUCCUGUGAAAAACAGGAUGCAGGUGGGCACCUCCCUGCUCCCUCUUAUCUGAUGGCAAGGCCCAGAAGAUGGGAACAGAGGAGUUUUUGCUGAGAUCCCAAAGCCAGAAGCUGCCAGUCCAAAGAGAGAGGACUUGACCGCUUUGUGUUUGAGCUGUUAUUCCAAAGGGAGCUGACUCGACCACUUUGGACUUAUUUAUAAGUUUGUACAGUCGCCGUUGUUAUUGUCAGCCAAACAACAGCUCCCAUUGCUACUGAAGAUCAACGUCUGAACUAUGAGCAAUGCUGGAAUAUGUGAUGGUGACUAUCUCCCUCUUGCUUCCUACAAGAACUCCCUGCUUGUAUUUCCUAUCGCUUUUCUAUCGUCCACCUUCCAUUCCCCAUCUCCUUAAGCAACUUGGAUUUGUAAUGAACUGGUCGGGCUAA